CUUACUAGAGAGCAGUGAGGGCUGUGUUUGCCUUCAGCGCGCUGGCCACCGCAGAUGCUCCCUCGUCCCCAAUGGCAUUCUCCUGUAAACUGGACACAGAGCAUGACCCUUUCAGGUACAUGGGGCGCCAGGAGCAUUCUAGCAAGGACCUGCUGGGCUUGGACCUUCCAGAUUUGACUACACACACCACAGACAUACACUCCCAGGAUUGGGAGUCCUGGGGAUAACUGCCCCACCUGUUCGGCCAUCACACAGAGGGGUUUGGGGUCUGCGUGAGUCUGAACCGUCAGAGGCAAACAGAAAAGGGACACAUGGAAAAUACUGUCAACAGGGACUUGGGACAAAAACAAGGUAUGCUUUUCAAAGCCAACCAGAAAAUUAAAGCCCUCAAUUCCUGAGCUAUUUGUACUAGUCAGGGUUUUACAUCUUUUUCUCCCCUCCUGAAAUGGAGGAAAAUAGCAGGCCUGGAGCAGUAAAUGAUUGAGUUUAGUCCAUGUGGACCUUGGCAUGUUUAAGGGAGCAGUUUCCCUUCAUGAUUUUAGCAAAUAUCUGAGAGCGUCUAUGUGCUGGGUGUUGUGCAGGCAGCAGGCACCGUUCUGCCCACUCAGUGGGGAGACGUGAUUAAAUAAGCAUUUACGACAGGUCAAGUGCAGGCUGCAGGGAAGACCAUCAGUGUGGUCUCCGACCCUGGUGUGGUUACAGAAGGCUGCCCAGCAAUAGGUCUAAACCAAAGCCCAGAAGGUAAUGGGGAAGAGGGUCUGGCACAUCUAAAGAACCCAAACACAUGAAGCUGAGUUCCUGGAGUAGUGAGACAUGAGGCUGGGAGGUGCAAAGGAAGCAGCUCUGAAUGGGGCCUCCUAAGCCACACUCCAGCUGUGCUUCACUCCGCAGGCACUGGGCGCCCGGGACAGGGACAUUCACGUUCUGGAAAAGUCUCUGGCCAGCAGUGUGAGAAAGGAUGGACUCGUGUGGAGGCUGCUACGGGAUGCAAGGAAGAUGGCACAGGACAGAACAAUGUGGAACCCCAGCACUGAGGAGUCAGUCAGAGAAGCAGAGUGAGGAGGCCCAGCCAGAAAGGGGAUGUUCUGGAAGCCAAAGGAGAAGAAACCGUGGUCAGGUGAAAAGCAGGCAUGUGACGUGGGCGGCUGCACUGAAUCCUGGCAACAGCCCCGUGGGGGCGUCCCAGGCUCAGCUCAGUGGGUUUGGUGACAGGGCACACAGCCAGGAUGUGGUGGAGCUGCCUGCAGGACACACCGCCCAUGGCCCCACAUCCACUCGUUGGAGCCCCUCCCACGUGCUUGUCCACGCCACGAGGCUAAGGAAAGAGAGAAGACCCUGAGCUGCUGACCAGGCAGAGGUGGCCUCUGGCCGGAGACAAGCCCGGAUGUUUAGGCUGCUUGAAGCCCAAGAAACCUCAGGGCAUCUGCCAUCCGCUGGGCUCCCACAGGCCCGAUGGUGUUCUUCUGCAGGCUGUGUGAAGAGAGAGGCAUCCUUCAGCAAAGCUGGCCACAGCCAUUCCCAGGCCAAGGACAGUCUGGGUUCAAGGUCAGAGGAAACAGGCAGAGAGGCCCUUGGAGGAGGCAAGAAAGGGGAGAAAGGUGGUGGCGAGAGGAGGCAUCUCCACUCACUGCAGCACAGAGAGGGCCCGGUUGGAGGCCAAGGCCUCGGCCAUGGACCUGGCGCCGUCAUCCCUGAUCGUGUUGCUCUGGAGGCUGCAAAGGCAAGAGGUGGUGCACUCAGAGGUGCCCUGAACGCCACCACCAUGUGCCCCAGAGGCCCAGCGGGGCACAGCAGCUGACCUCGGAGUUACAUUUGUAUCUUCUGCUAACAAGUCUAAAGUGAUCCUAAUGUUAUAAUGACUGGCCCCUACCCAGUGCUCCCUCGUGCCUGGCCUUUACAACCACUGUAAGAGGGUAAUGAAUCAUAACCAUGAGUAUAAUGGCAUUUCUGAGUUCUGAGACCUUCUAGCAAAUCGUCAACCCCGAGGGUGGUCACAGGGACCCCCAAACUCACAGAUGAGCUACCUGAGCCCCUGGCACUUUCCAGAAUGGGCAGAAGCAAGCAGGCUGUAUCCUGAGCCUACCCGAUUCAAAGCUACCUCUCCUUCAAGCUGCCACUGGCUAGUCCUUCCCGCUCAGCACGCUGCCCAGCAAGUCCAUCACAGGGUCCUGGAACUGGUUGGCAUCCAGCCUGGCAAAGGGGAGCAGUGACAGUGAGUGUGGUCCUGCCACCCACAGGCAGGCAGAGAGGCCCUGCCCUGGGGCUGGCAUCCGCAGCAGAGUCACCCUCCGCCUCUCUCCAGCCCACCCCAGCACCCUCGCUGCAGCUCAGGGAUCACUCAGCAUGCCCAUGUGCUUGGACCCAUUCUCCCAGAGGGGGUGGGAGGCGGGAUGCCCGUGAGCCCUGUGGUUCCUGUCCAGAGGCAUCUUUUCUGCUGUCUGUUGUCCCAGCCACCUGCACGCCAUGUGCCUCUGGAGAGCCCUCCUGCUUCUGAGGGCCCCCAAGCUGCUCUGAGUCCUGAGGCCCCUUGCUCGGCCCACGUCCCGGCCUGCCAGCGAGCCGAGGUGCAGGGCCGUGGAUGGAGGAUGGCUGAGGGCAGAGUUGGCUUCCGUCAGUCGGGAUGGGUCGGGGUGUUAGGAAUUGGAUUGUGUCCCCCAAACAGGUAUGUUGAAGUCCUGACCCCCAGGGCCUCAAACAUGUGGCCUUAAUUGGAAAGAGGGUCGUUGCAGCUGUAAUUCUUUAAGAUGAAUAGAGUGGGAAUAGAGCGGACCUGCAAUCUGGUGUGACGGUGUCCUUUUAAGAGAGGACAGUUCUGUCUGAAGACAGACACUCACGGGGAUGAGACGGCACACACGUGCCACAGAGGCAGGGAAUGGAGCAGUGCUGCUACAGCACCAGAGCUAGAGGCAAGGAAAGACUGACCCCUGAAGCUUUCAGAGGGAGUGCAGCCCUG